GAUGAAGAACGCAGCGAAAUGCGAUAAGUAAUGUGAAUUGCAGAAUUCAGUGAAUCAUCGAAUCUUUGAACGCACAUUGCGCCCGCCGGCACUCCGGCGGGCAUGCCUGUCCGAGCGUCAUUUCAACCCUCAGGACCCCCUUCCGGGGGGACCUGGCGCUGGGGAUCAGCGGCCUCCGGGCCCCUGUCCCCCAAAUGCAGUGGCGGUCGCGCCGCAGCCUCCCCUGCGUAGUAGCACACCUCGCACCGGAGAGCGGCUCGGCCACGCCGUGAAACCCCCAAUUUUUCAAGGUUGACCUCGGAUCAGGUAGGAAUACCCGCUGAACUUAAGCAUAUCAAUAAGCGGAGGA
rnacentral:misc_RNA from 1 species